rnacentral:lncRNA from 1 species
CCAACAGUCCAGGCCCAGACCUGUCAAGAAAAUUUCCAUCUGGCUUAUUUCCAGGUCUGACCCAAUUGCCCACUAUACUUAUGAAAAGAAAAUGUAAUAACACCUAAUUACACUCUUCAUGUUGUUGUUUCGAAUAUCAGUACAUGAAAUUAAAACCUUAAUUUUUUACAGUCCUCAAGAAUAAAACUUUCAGAAUCAGUACAUUACAACUUAUUAAUACAUGAACAUUAUGUUAAUAACUACUCUAUUACAACUUCAUGUAAUUAAACAUCUAAUGAACAUUUCCCUCUUUUGAAUAUGGUUUAUCCAUCAAAGCUAAGUCCAAUGCGUGAAUACAUGGAUUCAGCAUGCUUACCAACAGUAAAGUUCCAGCUCUUAGCUUCUAAACCUGCUGAUUUGGCCAACUAAUGGCCAAAUCCAUAGGUUAUAGCUUCAUGGUUAGUACCAAAACUCAAAUAGCAUAAAAACAUGUUGUUUAUCUAAUACAAGAAGAAAGGAAGGCAGGAUUGUUAUACAUACAACACAUUUGGCUUAAAGAACAUCUUUAGGUAAGGGUAAAUAUCAAGAUAAAAAGUAUCCAUGUAUUUGCUAGGCCAUUCAUACUAAGUUACUAAAGAAACUCACAUAAUAAUAACCGAUCAGAUUCAUAUCACAAGAUAAACAAUACUACAUUUUACAUAUGAUUUGCAGCUCAGGGUUUUCAUCAUUUCAAAAAAAAAAGAUAAUAAUUACAUGGAGAAAGAUGAGACCAAAUACCUUGAAUAACACAACAACAAAAACUCAGUAACUAAAGGUGCAAAAACUGGCUGAAACCUUAGAUGAGAAUGGAGCAGCAACAAGACAGAAGCAGUAACAACCAAAAACCCUAGAAUGUCAAACCCACAAUCAGCAACUUGAAACCAGAAAUAGCCAACUAAAUGACCCAAGAAGCCCUCUAUUUCAAACCAUUUUCAACUUGUAAAGAAUCAGAAAAAAUGAGGAAGAUUUGAAGUUUUCAAGAUUUCUAAAAUCUGACCCUAUUCAGGAAAGAAAAUAAAGCUU